rnacentral:lncRNA from 1 species
GGUCCAAAUUUGGAGCCCAACUCGAUCCCACGGGUCUUUAAAUCAUGUUCAGAUCAGAUCUAAGCGGAUUGGUUCAGGUCAGGUUAUGGAUCAACCCAACCUAUUUGUAGCCUUAAUUAUUAGUGACUAUCAAUUUGUCGCAAACAUAGCUUUUUUGUGCAUCUUUGCUUUCUCACUCUAUAAGUCUAUUUACACCCAUCUUAAUAAUCAAGAUAGCAACC